rnacentral:rRNA from 1 species
CCUACGGGGGGCUGCAGUUUCGAAUCAUUCACAAUGGGCGAAAGCCUGAUGGUGCGACGCCGCGUGAGGGAUGAAGGUCUUCGGAUUGUAAACCUCUGUCACUGGGGAAGAAACGCUUUGAGCUAACAGUUCAAAGCCUGACUUAACCCGGAGAGGAAGCAGUGGCUAACUCUGUGCCAGCAGCCGCGGUAAUACAGAGACUGCAAGCGGCGUACGGAUUCACUAGGCGGAAAAGGGGCGGAGGCGGCCAAGCCCGGGCCUUAACCCCGGAAUUGCACCUCAAACUACAUGGCUAGAGCAUUGGAGAGGGUAGCAGAAUUCAUGGUGUAGCAGUGAAAUGCGUAGAUAUCAUGAGGAAUACCAGAGGCGAAGGCGGCUACCUGGACAAUUGCUGACGCUCAGGCACGAAAGCGUGGGGAGCAAAAGGGAUUAGAUACCCCAGUAGUC